CCUACGGGUGGCAGCAGUGGGGAAUAUUGGUCAAUGGGCGCGAGCCUGAACCAGCCACGUCGCGUGAAGGAUGACUGCCCUACGGGUUGUAACCUUCUUUUAUAAAGGAAUAAAGUGAGGCACGUGUGCCUUAUUGUCUGUACUUUAUGAAUCAGGAACGGCUAACUCCGUGCCAGCAGCCGCGGUAAUACGGAGGCUCCGAGCGUUAUGCGGAUUUAUUGGGGUUAAAGGGAGCGUAGAUGGGUUGUUAAGUCAGUUGUGAAAGUUUGCGGCUCAACCGUAAAAGUGCAAUUGAUACUGGCAGUCUUGAGUACAGGUGAGGUAGGUGGAAUUCGUGGUGUAGCGGUGAAAUGCUUAGAGAUCAAGAAGAACACCGAUUGCGAAGGCAGCCUACUAAACCGCCACUGACAUUGAUGCUCGAAAGUGUGGGUAUCAAACAGGAUUAGAUACCCUUGUAGUC
rnacentral:rRNA from 1 species